AAAAGGACCGCUAGUAUAAUAGACAGUUGCUCCAUGGACCGAUAAAAAAAAGUGAUGAAUCCCGGCCGUGAGAAUGUAUAUUUUUUCAUACAGUAACGCCAAUUUCCGUCAUGAUUUAGAGAGUUCAACCACAAAAUUGUUACCCAGAAGCAAUGAGCUUAUUUGUUUAUAAGUGGAUAAAAAGGAAAGAGAACGCCACCUGCAAGAAGAAGAAACCAGAAUCCUUCAACACCGCGCUUUAAUUAAAUCUUUAACAGCAGAGUAGAAAGUAACUUCAAAAUUAAAUUGAGACGCUUCAAUCUUACUGUAACGGCAACAGAAUAAAACUGGAUUUACUGUCCAGUGUCCAAUUGUUUUUCCCCCUCUCUCUCUCCCUCAUGCCGGCUUAGUAAACAAACAUGGUUGAAAGCUCGAGCGCGUCGGUGUUACGAAUUGAGCUGCCUCCAAACAAAAGGCAAAGAUAAAAGGCAAAAGCUGGAGAGAGAGAGGGACGAGGGAGGGAGGCCAUUGAUAGAGACCACGAGCUGUUCUAGAAGUCACCGCGCUGCAGCCUGCAGCUCAGGGGGGCCUGUUCCCUGGAUCUCGCCAUCGCCAUUGCCGCUGCCCCCCACCUACUACUCCUGCUCCUAGUCCUACACCCCUCCUACUCCAAUCCAAGAGGUGCUUUGGAUCGCAUUGCUUCGUGCUAGAGUUCGGUGGUCAGCCUGCGUGUGGGACAGUGGUACUCCCUCCCUGCUUCUUGAUUCGUCUCUGUGGUUGUGUUUUUAGAGCCACUGCUUUCCCCCCUUAUCUUCAUCUGGUAGAGUGGGUUUGAUGUGGCUUCCUGCGAGAAAGAUCUCACUUUGAUAGUUUGAUGUCUUCAUGAUCUGUCUGAGGUUUUUCGGCUUGAUUUCGGCAGCUGAUUAAGCACCCGCAGAUACCACUUUUUUUUUCUUCGAGUAUCCGCUCUUGUUGGACUGGAUUUCUGAAGUGCUCGCAGAUUGUCUGUUUAUUUAUAUCGUGUUGCCUCCUUGUUUCUGAUUAUUCCAAUCUUCUGGACAAUUUUUUCCCUUCCGUAGAGCGCGAAAGAUCUCAUUUUGAUCUGCUAAACAGCUGCAAUUGUAUCCCAAUUUGCUUCAGUCUCCACCACUGGAUAUCUCAUUGGGGUUUCUCCAAGAUUUGCAUCUGCAUAGCGUUUGUCUCGAUGCUGUUGUCUGUUCUGCAUUUGCUCCUAGUGUCCGGCAUUUGUCUGUCUCUUCAUGCUGCUCCCAUGAUCUAGGCCAAAAUUUGACAACUGGCCCAUCCAAUUGACGUCUUUUUAUUUAUUCUUAUACAUUGUCUGGCUUUAUUUUCAGUUCAACUCUUUGAGGAUUUGGCAACUGUAUUUUAAGCAUUAAGCUUCAACGCAGAAUUUGAAAUUGGCGGGGCUGUUGUUCAAAGAAUUGGAGAUGGACAGGAAGAAUUGUCCUCCAUCGCCAUCGCCAAGAUCGACCGAGAAGUCUGGAAGAGAAUUGAGAUCUGGGGAGGCCAAUGUCAGCACAAAUACCAAUAGCAACCUCAUCGCAAAAGGUGACAAGGAGAAAGGAGUCAAUGUGCAAGUCAUUCUAAGAUGCAGGUGGAGAGGGCUCAGUAGUUAAAGCUUAAAAGUUCUGUCUAAUUUUGUUUUUGUUAUCACAAUGUGUGAUUUGAUACAUUCAGGCCGUUGAGUGAUGAAGAAACAAAGUCGAAUACUCCUGUGGUUAUUUCGUGCAAUGACCGUCGCCGGGAAGUUGCCGCCACUCAAAUUAUUGCCAAUAAGCAGAUUGAUCGCACAUUUGCCUUCGACAAGGUAUUAUAUCACUUUGUCGAGCAAUUUCUUGACUGUUUCGUUCAUACUUAGAAUUUACCUAGUCUUGUUUACUUAAUCUCUGUGUGUUUUGACCUAGAUUUAGUUAACUAUUUCAUUUUGAGUAGGUUUUUGGCCCAUCGUCCAAGCAGAAAGAUUUGUUUGAACAAUCCAUCUCGCCGAUAGUAAAUGAGGUCCUUGAAGGUUACAAUUGCACUAUUUUCGCUUAUGGGCAAACUGGUACCGGGAAGACUUACACAAUGGAGGGAGGUGGGACUAGAAAGACCAAGGUAAAUAUUUUGUUAUGCAUAUAAUCUGAAGGUGUAGCUUGGAUCUGCAUUUUAAAUGUUAUAACGGGUUCUUCCAAUGUCCACUAGAAUGGUGAACUCCCAACUGAUGCUGGUGUUAUCCCAAGGGCUGUAAGGCAAAUCUUUGACAUUCUCGAGUCUCAGUGCGCAGAGUAUAGCAUGAAAGUCACCUUUCUUGAGCUUUACAAUGAAGAAAUCACUGAUCUGUUGGCACCUGAAGAACCAAAAUUCCCUGUUCUUGAAGACAAGACGAAAAAACCUAUUGCCCUUAUGGAAGAUGGAAAGGGAUUUGUUUUUGUGAGAGGUCUUGAAGAAGAAGUUGUGUACUCAGCUGGCGAAAUCUACAAGAUUCUUGACAAGGGUUCUGCAAAGAGGCGUACUGCAGAAACAUUGCUGAACAAGCAAAGUAGUAGGUCACACUCUAUAUUCUCAAUCACAAUUCACAUUAAGGAACUCACUCAUGAGGGUGAGGAGAUGAUCAAGAUUGGAAAGCUCAAUCUUGUCGAUCUAGCUGGUUCAGAAAAUAUAUCACGCUCAGGUGCUAGAGAUGUGAGUUACUUCUAAAUGUCCAAUUAUAGAUAAAAAAAUCAAAUGCUUCUCUCUGAUCUUUCAAAUUUAAUAAAGCACUUGUAACAUCGAAUCUACAUUGCAGGGCAGAGCGAGAGAGGCUGGAGAGAUCAACAAGAGUUUGCUCACGCUUGGUCGUGUUAUUAAUGCUCUAGUAGAGCACUCUGGACAUGUACCAUACAGGUAACCCUAAGAAUGGCCCUUGACAGCUUUGAUUUUAGUAACACGUUGCUCAAUGAUGGUUUAUGUGUAUCUAUUUGUUUCAGAGAUAGUAAACUGACAAGGUUGCUGAGGGAUUCAUUGGGAGGGAAAACAAAGACUUGCAUUAUUGCUACAAUAUCACCUUCAGUAUAUUGUUUGGAAGAGACAUUGAGCACACUUGAUUAUGCACACCGUGCAAAAAAUAUCAAGAACAAACCAGAGGUUAUAUUUAUUAUGUUUUAUUUGUUUGGAUUAGUCAGUCAUACUGAUGUUUAUUAUUUCAGACAGUACAAACUUUACAAUUGGUUGCUGUAGGCUAACUUACUUAUGUAAAAUUCAGGUAAAUCAAAGGAUGAUGAAGUCUGCUGUGAUCAAGGACUUGUACUAUGAAAUUGACCGCCUCAAACAAGGUUGUUCUUGCUUUUUUUUGUAACUCGGAAUCAUAAGAAUCACACAUCUUGUAUUCAUCUGGUCUCCUGUAUAUCUCCAGAGGUGUUUGCUGCAAGAGAGAAGAACGGUAUCUAUAUUCCAAGAGAGCGCUACCUCCAAGAAGAAGCUGAGAAAAAGGUUUAUCUUGAUUUUCCAAUAAAUCCAUAUUUGAUUUUGUUCAGAUAGACUGAACCUAGCUUUAUUUUGUGUAUCAUUAUCUCACCUUUUUCAAAUUAUCUUUGUUACUUAGGCCAUGACAGAGAAAAUUGAACGACUAGGAGCUGAUAUGGAGGCUAGGGAUAAGGUUAGUUGUCUUAAGCAUUUGAAAAUAAAUGAUGCUGUUAUUAAUGGAUAAGAUGUUUUUUUGCCAAAUCUGUUAUCAGCAAUUGGUUGAAUUAAAAGAGCUUUAUGAUGCUGAACAACGUCUGAGUGCAGAGUUGGGUGAAGAACUUGGAAAGACUCGGGUAUCCUUCCAGCCUGAGUCAUGUGGUUUUACAGUCUUAGCAAAUAUGUUACUUAUCGCUUCAGUCUUUUCUCUUGAUUGUAGAAAGAUCUGGAGGACACCAAGAGAGCUCUGCAUGAUCUAGAAGAACAAUACAAAGAAGCAAAGUCUACUAUUAAAGAAAAGGAAUAUGUCAUAUUUAAUCUUCUGAAAUCAGGUUUGUUGUGUUCACUAAUUUAUGCAAGACUUGAGGAUUGUCAUAUUCUGCACAGUUUUUGGUGUUCUUUUUUUUUAAAAAAAAUUAACUAUUCAGCCUAUUAUUAAAUUUAUAACCUUUCAGGGGCUUCUUGGUUCUCAAUGCUUAGUUUCAAUUAAUCAGUCCUAUGCCUGUUUAUUGGUUUUGCCAUUCAUUCAAUUACAUGUUCUUUUUGUUUUCUCCACAGAAAAAUCAUUAGUGGACUGUGCAUAUAACCUUCGUGCGGAGCUAGAAAAUGCAGCAGCAGAUGUUUCUGGGCUAUUCUCCAAAAUAGGUUAGGAAUCUUCACUAUUUCUUAAUACCAGGGAUCUUAACUGGAUCACCCCUUUUCUGUGACUGUUAUGGACUCGGUCUCACUUCAGUGGGCACUACUUGCAGAGCGCAAAGACAGGAUAGAAGAUGGGAACAGGUCGAUGGUGCAGAGAUUUAGGUCUCAACUGACCCAUCAGCUGGAUGCAUUGCAUAAAACUGUAUCCAGUUCUGUCAUGCAACAGGAGGACCACCUUAAUGAAAUGGAACAUGAUAUGCAAUCCUUUGUUUCUUCAAAAGAUGAGGUAAUUCAGUCUCUUACGUUUCUCAGUGCCUUACUUAAGUUUUGUCUGGAAUGAUAUGCAAGAGUAUUUAUUGAUACGCAUCAGUUAUCCGUGUUUAGGCUGCACAAGGGCUAAGAGAGGGUGUGCAAAAGCUCAAAGUCUUGCAUGGUUCCGGUAUCACUGCUCUGGAUGAAUUAGCAGGUGAAAUCGACAUGAACUCGCGGACAACAUUUGAGAGAUUAAAUUCACAGAUACAGUCACACACAUCAGCCCUUGAGAACGUAAGUUCGUUUCCGUUGGCCUGAUGUGAACGCAGUGGGUUUUUGCAGCAUUUCUGACUGUUUACUUCUGUUCUAAGUGUUUCGGAGGAAUCGCUUCGGAAGCAGAUAACUUGUUAGAUGAGCUUCAGCGCAGCCUAUCGAAACAAGAAGAGAGGCUAGCCCAUUUCGCAGUGAAGCAGAGGGAGGUCUGCAUCUUGUCGAAGCAUGGAGUCAUUUUGCUAUUCUCCUACGCUGCUUCGGUGCUGUAACUUUUGUUGUUGCUGGGGGUGCAGGGACACCUGAGAGCUGUGGAAGCGUCACGUUCCAUCUCAAAGAUCACUGCUGGGUUCUUCCACUCGCUAGAUGUCCAUGCAUCUAGGCUCACCAGUAUUCUGGAAGACACACACAGCGUGCAAGACCAACAACUUCUUGACCUUGAAAAGAAAUUCGAGGUGCUUUAUUGCACGAACCUCAUGCCGUGCGCUGUGUGUUAAUGAUCUCGCAGCAUAGCAUAAUUUUAUUACCUUUAACAGGAGUGCGCAGCUAAUGAAGAAAAACAGCUUCUAGAGAAGGUGGCGGAGAUGCUGGCAAGUUCCAACGCACGGAAGAAGAAGCUGGUGAGCGUUUUUUUUUCAGUUGUUUCAACAGCUUAAACUUGUUUCGUACCCAUCUGACUAAAACACACCAAGUAAACGACGUGCUAUAAAAAAGAAGUGAUGCUCUCACACCUCUCUGCUAUGCCAACGUUUCAUCAUGAGCACGCAUUGCAGGUCCAAACAGCAGUGGGCAGCCUCCGGGAGAGCGCCGUGAACAGAACGAGCCACCUGCAGAAAGAAAUCUCGACGGCCCAGGACUUGACCUCGUCCGUGCGCGAGAAGUGGGGCUUUUACAUGGAAGAGACCGAGAAGAAUUACGCUGAGGAUACCAAAGCAGUCGACAGCGGAAGGUCUUGCCUGGCCGAAGUGCUUGUAGAAUGGUCAGUUCACUUCAGCGUCAUGCCAUGUGAUGGUGGUUAUUCCUUCUGGUUCGAAGACGCGGAUGUUCUUAACUUUUUUUUUUUUACAUUCACCCGGAAAUUUGUUGCAGCAAGGCGAAGGCCACCGUGGGUGCACAGCAAUGGAAGAACGCGGAGGAUUCUCUGUUCAGCCUCGGCAAAGGAAACGUGGAGUCAGUGGAUUCUAUAGUCAGGUAAUAUCAGGAUAGGAAUCGACAUGGGAUCUUGGGCAGUAAAAAAUUUCUCUGUUGAAAUGAAUGGUCGGCUACGAGUGUGUGCUGAUGAUGCGCCUGUGUGUAUGACAAACAGGACCGGGACAGAGGCCAACGAAUUGCUGCGUUCCAAACUGUCGUCUGCGGCAUCGGCAACUCUUGAAGAUAUCGACGUUGCAAACGAGGCUCUCCUUUCUUCAAUUGACAGUGAGACCACGCUCUGAACUGAAACUUGGCCUCACCUAAGUGCCGUGCAGUGCAGUGCAUAGCAUAGCAUAGCAUAGCAUGGAGCCAUGGACAGCUUCCUCUUCUUUUUCUUUUUCCCCUUUACAACCCCAUUCCUGCCAUUCCAGGCUCGCUGAAGCUUGACCGCGACGCGUGCGCGAACAUCGGGGCGGUCCUCACGCCGUGCCACGGGGAGAUGAGGGAGCUGAAGGGGGAGCAUCACCACAAGGUCGUGGAGAUCAGCGAAAGCGCCGGGAAGUGCCUGGAGGAAGAGUAUCUGGUGAGCGGUCACUGAAAAGCCAACAGGGGUGGUGGUUCAUGAGAUGCGUGUGCUCCGUUGUCUCUGACUGAUGAAAUUCGCGCGCCACUGCGCCUUGGAACCGAGCAGGUGGACGAGCCGUCGUGUUCGACGCCCAGGAGAAGGCGGAUCGACCUGCCGGGCGUGGAGUCGAUAGAGGAGCUGCGGACCCCGGGCUACGCCGAGCUUCUCAAGUCGUUCCGGGAGGCGAGGGGGAGCUGGAAGCUGGCGAAUGGAGACGUCACAGGGCAUUUGCCAGAGGCGGCUCAGGAUCCGGCAUCAUCGCCGCCGCCGGCCGUGGGUUCAAGAACCCCUCUCGUAGGAAGAAACUAGAUUUACCGAAACCAUGUAGAAAGAAAAAGGAAAAAAAAAGGAGGAAGAAGAGGAAGGCAUGUGUCUACUAGAGUACCUUUUUCGUAUUGGUGUUGAUAGUGGUGUUGG
rnacentral:lncRNA from 1 species